AUCCUCUAAUUAUAUUACGACUAGUCUACCCCUGAGUCCAGGUUGCACAGAGGAGUCAGCAUAGCACUAUUAGGAAAAUGACAUAAAUAUGGAUCCACAACCAGCAGACCACUGGCUUCCAGUUGAGGCUCGCAUUCACUACAAGACCAUGGUACUUGCCUACUUUCAGGCUAUGCUCAAACCCUACACCCCAACCCGAAAACUCCGUUCUGCCAUCUCUGGUCUCUUGGCCCUCCCACCCCUACCUGAGGGCAGCUCCCACUUUGCAGAGUCCAAUUUCUUCAAUGUCCUGGCACCCCAAUAGUGGAACAAGCUUCCGACUGAAGCUAGGACAGCAUAGUCCCUGCCCAUCUUCCCGAAAAAACAUCUGAAACCCUACCUCUUCAAAGUAUCUUAAAUAAUCCCACAGGACCCACCACACCACCUCCUCUGGCAAAGCUGAUCGUUUUCUAUGGCUGAGAUCCUCAGGCCCAGCUCAUUCAGCUUGAUCUUUGUCUCUUCCACAAUGCGUUACAG